UACGUAGGGUCCGAGCGUUGUCCGGAAUUAUUGGGCGUAAAGAGCUCGUAGGCGGUCUGUCGCGUCGGGAGUGAAAACUUACAGCUUAACUGUGAGCGUGCUUCCGAUACGGGCAGACUUGAGGUAUUCAGGGGAGAACGGAAUUCCUGGUGUGAGCGGUGAAAUGCGCAGAUAUCAGGAGGAACACCGGUGGCGAAGGCGGUUCUCUGGGAAUAUCCUGACGCUGAGGAGCGAAAGUGUGGGGAGCGAACAGG
rnacentral:rRNA from 1 species